rnacentral:misc_RNA from 1 species
UUUGUCAGAAUAGGUAUGACGAGGAGGAGCGUUGCCCUUUACUACUCCAAUGCGGUCAUGGGUUUUGCAGGGAGUGUCUUUCUAGAAUGUUCUCUGCUUCCCCGGAUAGUAGCUUAUCGUGUCCCAGGUGCCGCCAUGUAUCCCUUGUCGGAAACUCUGUUACUGCCCUUAAGAAGAACUACGCGAUCCUAGCUUUAAUCCGGGACUCCAGGUAUUCGAGCGAUGAUGAGGAUGAAGAAGAGGAAAAUGAGAGGGGUUUUAAUGAGAAUGCUGAAGAUGAGGAGAAUGAUUCAAGGCGGAGGCAUGGUGCACGAGCAGCUUCAAGCUCCGGCUGUGGGGGUGGGAGGAUAGAGGUGGGUUCGCAUCAGGAAGUUAAGUUGAUUAGGAGGAUAGGGGGUGAGUCUAUGAGGCAUGGAGUGGAGAUGUGGGCAGCAACUGUUUCUGGUAGAAGCAGCGGUAGCCGUGGGAGGUGUCGGCAUAAAGUGGCAGUGAAGAAGGUGGGAGUUGGAGAGGAAAUGGAUGUGGUGUGGGUGCAAGAGAAGUUGGAGAGGUUGAGGAGGGAG